GCUAGUGUAGCUUAAAAUAAAGCAUGGCACUGAAGAUGCCAAGACGAGCCCUAGAAAGCUCCGCAUGCA
rnacentral:tRNA from 1 species